UUGGGAAGAAAAAGUCGUAACAAGGUCUCCGUUGGUGAACCAGCGGAGGGAUCAUUACCGAGUUUACAACUCCCAAACCCCUGUGAACAUACCACUUGUUGCCUCGGCGGGAUCAGCCCGCUCCCGGUAAAACGGGACGGCCCGCCAGAGGACCCCUAAACUCUGUUUCUAUAUGUAACUUCUGAGUAAAACCAUAAAUAAAUCAAAACUUUCAACAACGGAUCUCUUGGUUCCUGGCAUCGAUGAAGAACGCAGCAAAAUGCGAUAAGUAAUGUGAAUUGCAGAAUUCAGUGAAUCAUCGAAUCUUUGAACGCACAUUGCGCCCGCCAGUAUUCUGGCGGGCAUGCCUGUUCGAGCGUCAUUUCAACCCUCAAGCACAGCUUGGUGUUGGGACUCGCGUUAAUUCGCGUUCCUCAAAUUGAUUGGCGGUCACGUCGAGCUUCCAUAGCGUAGUAGUAAAACCCUCGUUACUGGUAAUCGUCGCGGCCACGCCGUUAAACCCCAACUUCUGAAUGUUGACCUCGGAUCACGAGAAUCCAGC
rnacentral:rRNA from 1 species